rnacentral:rRNA from 1 species
UACGUAGGGUGCAAGCGUUGUUCGGAAUUACUGGGCGUAAAGCGCGCGCAGGCGGGCUUAUAAGUCGAUUGUGAAAUCCCAGGGCUUAACCUUGGAAUUGCAGUCGAAACUGUAAGUCUUGAGUGCCUAAGAGGAUGGCGGAAUUCCCGGUGUAGUAGUGAAAUACGUAGAUAUCGGGAAGAACACCUGAGGCGAAGGCGGCUAUCUGGUGGUGCACUGACGCUGAGGCGCGAAAGCAUGGGGAGCGAACAGG